rnacentral:rRNA from 1 species
UACGAAGGGGGCUAGCGUUGUUCGGAUUUACUGGGCGUAAAGCGCACGUAGGCGGAUAGUUUAGUCAGAGGUAAAAGCCCAGGGCUCAACCUUGGAACUGCCUUUGAUACUGGCUAUCUUGAGUUCGGGAGAGGUGAGUGGAAUGCCGAGUGUAGAGGUGAAAUUCGUAGAUAUUCGGCGGAACACCAGUGGCGAAGGCGACUCACUGGCCCGAUACUGACGCUGAGGCGCGAAAGCGUGGGGAGCAAACAGG